rnacentral:rRNA from 1 species
AUGAACGCUAGCGACAGGCCUAACACAUGCAAGUCGAGGGGCAGCACAAGGAGCAAUCUGAGGUGGCGACCGGCGCACGGGUGAGUAACACGUAUGCAACCUGCCUGUAAGCGGGGAAUAACCCGUUGAAAGACGGACUAAUACCGCAUAAUACUAAAUUACUGCAUGGUAAUUUAUUUAAACAUUUAUGGCUUACAGAUGGGCAUGCGCAUGAUUAGCUAGUUGGAGAGGUAACGGCUCCCCAAGGCAACGAUCAUUAGGGGUUCUGAGAGGAAGGUCCCCACACUGGUACUGAGACACGGACCAGACUCCUACGGGAGGCAGCAGUGAGGAAUAUUGGUCAAUGGACGAGAGUCUGAACCAGCCAAGUCGCGUGCAGGAAGAAUGUCCUAUGGAUUGUAAACUGCUUUUGCAGGGGAAUAAAGUGCAUCACGUGUGAUGUUUUGUAUGUACUCUGCGAAUAAGGAUCGGCUAACUCCGUGCCAGCAGCUGC